rnacentral:rRNA from 1 species
CACGUAGGGCGCAAGCGUUGUCCGGAAUUAUUGGGCGUAAAGAGCUCGUAGGCGGUGUGUCGCGUCGGCCGUGAAAACCUGCAGCUUAACUGUGGGCUUGCGGUCGAUACGGGCAUCACUGGAGUUCGGCAGGGGAGACUGGAAUUCCUGGUGUAGCGGUGAAAUGCGCAGAUAUCAGGAGGAAUACCGGUGGCGAAGGCGGCAUCCUGGACCGACAUUGACGCUGAGGAGCGAAAGCUAGGGGAGCAAACGGG